UCAUAGUUGCGGAAAUUUUGUCUGCUAUGAUCCCAAAAAAAAAACAGUCAAGCGACUUGCUGGUACUACUUCUCAUAUGAAUCUGGGAAGCUGCUUUACAUAUGUGCCUAGUUUGGUUUACCUUCAAGGAAUGAAGACUGUUCAUGUGCAAACCCAAGCUCGUAUAUCUGGUAAUACUUUCAGAACUCCGCGAAGAUUGAUUAAUUCACUAAGGGGAUGAUAUUUUGCUCAAGGUUGACCAGAAGUUUAGACUAUUUUAAUGUCUGACUAAAUGUUUAGUUAGACAAUUAAUCAAUAGUAGACAGACUGAUCCUUUGCUUGACCACCACUGGCUGUUUAGACUAUUUUAGUGUUCCGUGAUCAGUUAAACUGCUUCAAAUUUAGAGUUCCGGUUUGGUAACUAUGUGCCUUUUGGACUUCUUUUUUUUCCUUGAUCCUUAGGUUCUGUUUGUGGGCAUAUUAUGGAACUGGGAAAUUAUUACUACCAGUUUCUUGGUUUCUUCUAUAUUAAUGUCAUAUAUUGAUUUUGCCCUCACUUUUUUUCCUAGCUACUAUUGCUUUGAAACAUAAGAAGUAUCUAUAUAUAGUUUCUAAAUUGACUUCAAGUUCGAUGAACAUGGCAUGUCAUGGGUUGACAUUAUACCUAUAUGCUGUAUGUUGGUUUAAUAUAGAUUAUAUCAAAUAUCUGCUCUUCAUAAUGUCAAUUUGAUCAAUUCUUAAGUACGGAUAAACCACUAUGAUGGAUUUGUGGUGAAUAAAGAUUAAAGAAGCAAUCAACAAUAAGAAAUUUGCAUGACUAUGUAAUUAGCUCUCAAGUUGUAAAUUCACCUCAAUAAAUUAUUCUGUAUACUUGUGAAGUUUGAAGUAGUUGUGAUGAUAAAUGUUUCUUUUCUAAGCUAUUGAAUAAGUACCAAUUUAUGCAUAGACUAUUCUGACCUUAAUCUUUAUUCACCACAAAUCAUAAAAGCAGCACAUAUUUGGUAGAGACAGAUUCUUAAAGAAUGUAGGACACUACAUCUGAACCAGUGAUGAUAGUAGAAGCUGCUAUUAACCUGACCAUUUUCUUUAGUUACUGAGAUUUUGGAGGAAUCAUGAUGCACCCGGUAACAGUGACGAUGGUGGAAGUUGAUCUAAACACAACUGUCCCCUAUAAUUUCUUUAAUAUAGAAGGUGUCGAAGCCUAAAGUCCUGAUUUAUACUACAAAACUAUGCAGUGUUACCAUUUUGUGCAAUUACAUGUAACAUGAAGCUUUAACAUUAUUUUAUUAAUAAAUAUUGGAUGUUACCGGACCAAAACCCCCCAAGCAUUUGUCUUGCAUUGUUUUGAUUUGUAGUCGAGGACCUUAUCAAGUUAUUAUCUAUUUUGUUCACUAGCCAUAACUUUCAAGACUAGGACAUGAGAUGUUUUGAUUUGUAGUUAAGGACCUUAUCAAGUUAUUAUCUAUUUUGUUCACCAGCCAUAUAUUUCAAGACGAGGAGAUGAGAUAGUAGUUCAAACUUAGAUCCAUUUAGGAAAUCAUCCAUCAGUGCUAUUUUAUUAGUAGAGCUCAUACUUCUACUUGGAUCAGCAAAUAUAUAAUCCUUACCUAGUUAGGGACUGUCGAUACUUUAAUAUGUUUAUUUGGGCUUAAACACUAGAAAUGCUAACUGGUAGCAUUUUAUCAUCCAACUCAAUAAACUGACCAUUAUUACUGAUUUAGUUUCAGCUUCUCUGGUCUUUCCUAAUAUCUAUGGUCUUUUAAAUGUAUCAAAAACCUUUAACUUCUUUUUUAUGUAAGUGAUGAAAGCUCAAUAGCUAUCACUUCUCUUAUAGAAUUAAAUGUGGAGUACUUCCAGUGCUGUAUUUCGACCUAUUCUCUGGGUUAUGUCAUUUGCACUCUACUAUAUAGGACUCAAAUAUAUGAAGUUUGAUAUAGUUGUUCUCUUAGGCACUCUACUAGUAUCAAGUAUUGAUAACAUGAUCAGCUUUGAUCAUAUUAUGGAGUUGUUAGCUGCCAUAAGACUAAAUAUCCCCUUUUUAGUUACUUUGGUUCCGGUAGAAUUACACUGCAUCCGGAAACACUGCUGAUGGUGGAAGCUGAUCUGAGAACAACUAUUCACUCUAAUUUCUUCGAUUCAGGAGUUGAAGCCUAAAGUCCAGAUUUGCACAUCCAAACUAUGCACUAUUCCCAUUUUGUGCAUAUACAUGUCACAUAAAGUUAUGACAUAUUUUGUUAAUUACAUUUUCUGGUAUUUAAGUGUCCAGACUGAAAACCUGACGGUUUUUUUCCUGGCAUCAGUCUGACAUUGUUUUGGUUUGUAGUCGACGAGCUUAUGAAGUUAAUCUCCAUUCUGUUUUGUAGCCGCAACUUUAAAGACUAGGAAAUGAAAUAAUAGUCCGACCUCAGAAUCUUUUGAGAAUCCAUCCAGUGUCUGCUCUAUCCUAUUGGCAACAACUUGUUGAAUAUGCAUUGUCUCAAAAGAAUGCAGUCACCAGGGCUCAUCAUAUUUGGAGAGAAAUAAACUCGCGGCUUCAGGACAGAGCCUUGCGUGAUCCCACGGCUUUAUGGGUAAAAGAGUAUUGCUUGAUCAGGCCAAGUCAUUAAUGCUAACUUGGUUGAUGCUAGGAGCUCAUUUACUUGUACUAUUUGAUACCCUUGCCAAGUUAACACUUAUUUGAGUAGCUGAAUUAUUUUCUUAUUGGUGCUGGGGUGCCUAGCAGCAUUGCUUUAUGAGUAAUCCGUCACUUGGCUCUUUUAUUCACACAUUGGCUACUCGCGGACCUGUGAGUCUGUGUCUGCGCCAUUGUUCCUAGCUAUUUAUUUAUUGGAGUAGUUUACGAAUUACGAGAGAUAAUAAAAUGACGAAGCACAUAAAUUUUUCAACUCCCUAAUAGAUAAAUAAAUGAACGAGUACGAUUGAAUAGUUCAGUGAUCACUCUAUUAAAGACGUAAUCUUAUAAUAUGUGUAAUUAUGGGCUAUAUAUUAAAAAUAUUAUUAUCAUUAAUAUUUUUAUUAUAGUAAUUGUAGAGUUUAAAGAGUUUUAAUAAAUAUUGACAACAUACGAGAUUGAUAUUUUUUUUAGGAAAAAAUGAUUUUUUGAAUAGAGUGAGAAUUUUUACAGAAGUAUUUAUAUAGAUUUUAUUUGAGAUAUCGUUUAUUCAAUUUUAGCUAAAAUUUUAGAAGAAUUAGGAAUUCUUCCAACACUUAAAAUGCAAAAGGGAAAAUAGAUUUUUUUGCCACUCAACUUAUAGUGUUUUUAGAAACUUACCACCCAACUAAUUUUUUUAUUCUUUUAGUCACUAAUGUUAGGUUUGGUUUUGUUUUUAACCACAAGCUUAGGUUUGGAUUUGAUUACUAGCAUUAUGAUGAUUUUUUGUAUCAUCAUUUAUACAUAGUGAUAGUAUCUAAUAUUUUGAUGAUGUGUCGUAUGUUUAUAUCCUUAUAUAUAGCAAUAGUAAUAUAAAAUGAGCCGAUGAAAAAUUAAAAUCAGGAAUAAUAAUAAUUAGAUUCUAAAAAUUCAAUAAAUCAUGAAUAUGAAAUCAAUGACUUCAAACAAUUCACCCUCUCUCAUAAGAUAAAGUGUAAUUGAGUGAUAUGACGCAUCAUCUUUCGCUAUUAAACUUUCAAUGGACUAGCCCAGUCUAAGAUCUUUCGUAAAUUUAUCUUUAAAAAUUUUAAUAACUUUAUUUUAUUACAAUUUUCGAGAUAAAUAAAUAGAGAGGAAAACUUAAUUAUCGAUGAUUGUCCUCUAUAUAUAAUGCAUCAUUUUAUAUUAUUAUUACUCCCUGCGUCCCUCUCAUUAGUUUACAAAUUUUCUCUAGUGCUUAGCAUGUAUUUAAGAUUUUUUAUAAAACAUAGUUUCAUAACUUAUUUUUGUGUGUAAAAAUUCAAACGCUGAAUUUUCAUUCGGAAGAAAAAAUUAAAGUUAUAUAUGAAACUACAUCUUUUAAAGGCCAUAUAAUGGGUGUAAAAUUCUUAUCAUCCAAGUUAAGCGACCUUGAAGACAUAAAAAAUAGUACAUAUAAGAAUACAAACAUAUAUCAAAUCAUCAAAAUAUUACCGACUACCACUAUAUUUUAAUAAUGAUACACAUAAAAUGUAAUGCUGAUAAUCAAAUCUGAACCCACCUUCAGCGACAAAAAAAAGAGCUAAAUCUAACACUAGUGAGUAAAAUAAAAAAAAUUAUAAUUCAGUGGUUAGUUUCUAAAAACGCAAUAAGUUUAGUGACAAAAAAAUUAUCAUAAUGCUGGUAAUCAAAUCCAAACCUAAGUUGAUGGCUAAAAAUAAAACCAAACCUAAGAUUAAUGACUAAAAGAAUAAAAAAAUUAGUUGGAUGGUAAGUUUCUAAAAACACUAUAAGUUGAGUGGCAAAAAAAUCUAUUUUCCCAAUUCAAAAUGAAAAACUAGCAGAAACAGAAGAAAUUAAUUCGAUACUUAUUGCAGGAGUUAGCUUCAGAAAAAAUAAUUAACAUAAAUAAGCACAUGUUUUGCUCCGUCAUUUUCGAGCACAAUUUUCGCAUUUUUGAUUCACAUCUUGUCAGAACAGAGCAGGUACAUAUACACUAGCACAAAUUGCCCAAGCCUCCAGGAAAACAAAACAAAGGCGAUGGGUCAAAACGUCAAGAAGAAGAUCACGCCGGCGCAGCUGCCGGAGGAAUUGGUCCGGGAGGAGAUUCUCACACGACUCCCGAUAAAAUCGGCGGUGCGUUUCAAAAUCGUGUCCAAAUCUUGGCUCUCUCUUUUCUCCGACCCUAAUUUCUGGAAAAAGCAUCUCACUCGCAACUCUUCUCAAAACCCUAAUGACUACGACUGUCUCGUGGCUGCUAAACACCGCAGAGUCGUCGUUCUCUCUCGCUACAAAGAAACAUUUGUACUGCCUUCCGAUAAUUACGAGGUGGUUGGUUCUGUUCAGGGCUUAAUUUGUCUCCGCCGUGCCAAAAAAUUGUCGUUAUGGAACCCUGCUAUUCAUCAGUCCAGGGAGUUCACUCUUCCGGCACAACAUCAAGAACGUCAUGCUGAUCCGAGCCACAUUGGACUCGGUUUCGAUCACCCAUCGAAUGAUUACAAGGUGGUUGUCUGCUAUGUGUCGGGUGAUUCUCGGUAUGGUUGUGUUUACUCGGGGAAUUCUGAUUCGUGGAGCGAUGUGUUUGUUCCUGAUAAUGUGUUUUUCAGAACUGAAAAAAAGGACUGGGAGAAGCGCGGACCCAAGACUAUUGCUAAGUACUGUCCUUAUUGGAAAUGCCGUACGUAUCUGUCUAAUGAUGUGCAUGUUCGAUCUUUGGCUGUCAUGAAGUUCGAUGUGGGGAGUAAUGAAUUCAAGUUGUUGCCUGAAUUUGAGUUUGGUGCAAGUGAACAGAAUUGGGACCAUGGCAAGCGCUAUGCACUAGUCACUCUGAAUGAUUGUCUUACUUUGAUGACGUAUAAGCCGUCUAAAGAUAGUGUUGUGAAUGUUUAUUCAUUGGACGAGGAAGGUUUGUGUGUUUGGAGUAAAAUUUAUAGUGUUGGACCUCUUGAUCUUGAUACCCAUCAUUUGGACUUGUCACAGGGUUUUAGGUAUGGGGGAGAGUUUGUAUGUCAUUUUUGCGGAAAUUUUGUCUGCUAUGAUCCCCAAACAAAUACAGUCAACCGACUUGCUGGUAGUACUUCUCAUUUGAAUCUGAUAAGCUGCUUUCCGUAUGUGCCUAGUUUGGUUUACCUUCAAGGAAUGAAGACUGUUCAUAUGCAAACCCAAGCUCGUAUAUCUGGUAACACUUUCAGAACUCCUCGACGAUUGAUUAAUUCACUAAGGGGAUGAUAUGUUGCUCAAGGUCGACC
rnacentral:lncRNA from 1 species